ensembl:miRNA
GAGGUGGGAGGAUCGCUUGAGUCCAGGAGGUUGAGGCUGCAGUGAGUUGUGUUCACACCACUGCACUCCAGCCUGGGUAACAGAGCAAGACCCUGUCUCA